CCUACGGGAGGCAGCAGUGUGGAAUAUUGCACAAUGGGGGAAACCCUGAUGCAGCGACGCCGCGUGAGUGAAGAAGUAUCUCGGUAUGUAAAGCUCUAUCAGCAGGGAAGAAAAUGACGGUACCUGACUAAGAAGCCCCGGCUAACUACGUGCCAGCAGCCGCGGUAAUACGUAGGGGGCAAGCGUUAUCCGGAUUUACUGGGUGUAAAGGGAGCGUAGACGGCGGUACAAGUCUGGAGUGAAAUGCCAGGGCUUAACCCCGGAACUGCUUUGGAAACUGUGCAGCUAGAGUGCAGGAGAGGUAAGCGGAAUUCCUAGUGUAGCGGUGAAAUGCGUAGAUAUUAGGAGGAACACCGGUGGCGAAGGCGGCUUGCUGGACCGUAACUGACGUUGAGGCUCGAAAGCGUGGGGAGCAAACAGGAUUAGAUACCCUUGUAGUC
rnacentral:rRNA from 1 species